GACCUUCGGGCCUCUUGCCAUCAGAUGUGCCCAGAUGGGAUUAGCUAGUAGGUGGGGUAACGGCUCACCUAGGCGACGAUCCCUAGCUGGUCUGAGAGGAUGACCAGCCACACUGGAACUGAGACACGGUCCAGACUCCUACGGGAGGCAGCAGUGGGGAAUAUUGCACAAUGGGCGCAAGCCUGAUGCAGCCAUGCCGCGUGUAUGAAGAAGGCCUUCGGGUUGUAAAGUACUUUCAGCGGGGAGGAAGGGAGUAAAGUUAAUACCUUUGCUCAUUGACGUUACCCGCAGAAGAAGCACCGGCUAACUCCGUGCCAGCAGCCGCGGUAAUACGGAGGGUGCAAGCGUUAAUCGGAAUUACUGGGCGUAAAGCGCACGCAGGCGGUUUGUUAAGUCAGAUGUGAAAUCCCCGGGCUCAACCUGGGAACUGCAUCUGAUACUGGCAAGCUUGAGUCUCGUAGAGGGGGGUAGAAUUCCAGGUGUAGCGGUGAAAUGCGUAGAGAUCCGGANGGAAUACCGGNUGGCGAAGGCGGCCCCCUGGACGAAGACUGACGCUCAGGUGCGAAAGCGUGGGGAGCAAACAGGAAAAGAUACCCUGGUAGUCCACGCCGUAAACGAUGUCGACUUGGAGGUUGUGCCCUUGAGGCGUGGCUUCCGGAGCUAACGCGUUAAGUCGACCGCCUGGGGAGUACGGCCGCAANGGUUAAAACUCAAAUGAAUUGACGGGGGCCCGCACAAGCGGUGGAGCAUGUGGUUUAAUUCGAUGCAACGCGAAGAACCUUACCUGGUCUUGACAUCCACGGAAGUUUUCAGAGAUGAGAAUGUGCCUUCGGGAACCGUGAGACAGGUGCUGCAUGGCUGUCGUCAGCUCGUGUUGUGAAAUGUUGGGUUAAGUCCCGCAACGAGCGCAACCCUUAUCCUUUGUUGCCAGCGGUCCGGCCGGGAACUCAAAGGAGACUGCCAGUGAUAAACUGGAGGAAGGUGGGGAUGACGUCAAGUCAUCAUGGCCCUUACGACCAGGGCUACACACGUGCUACAAUGGCGCAUACAAAGAGAAGCGACCUCGCGAGAGCAAGCGGACCUCAUAAAGUGCGUCGUAGUCCGGAUUGGAGUCUGCAACUCGACUCCAUGAAGUCGGAAUCGCUAGUAAUCGUGGAUCAGAAUGCCACGGUGAAUACGUUC
rnacentral:rRNA from 1 species